GGAGUUGUGGCUCAGUGGCAGAGCGCUUGCCUGGCACGUAUGAGAUCCUGGGUUCGAUCCUCAGCACCA
rnacentral:tRNA from 1 species